rfam:Aedes albopictus isolate Foshan contig275985, whole genome shotgun sequence.
UGUUCUGUAGCUUAGUUGGUUAAAGCGCCGGACUAGCUAUAACGGAGUCGUGGGUUCGAAUCCCACCAAAACAA